rnacentral:rRNA from 1 species
AGCAGCCGCGGUAAUUCCAGCUCCAAUAGCGUAUAUUAAAGUUGUUGCAGUUAAAAAGCUCGUAGUUGAAUUUCGGGACCAAUCUGCCGGUCGUGCCUCCGGUACGCACUGGUUUUAUUGGUUUCUCCCUUCUGACGAACCAUGAUGUCAUUAAUUUGGUGUCAUGGGGAAUCAGGACUGUUACUUUGAAAAAAUUAGAGUGUUUAUAGCAGGCUCACGCUUGAAUACAUUAGCAUGGAAUAAUGAAAUAGGACGUAUGAUCCUAUUUUGUUGGUUUCUAGGAUUGACGUAAUGAUUAAUAGGGAUAGUUGGGGGCAUUAGUAUUCAAUUGUCAGAGGUGAAAUUCUUGGAUUUAUUGAAGACUAACUACUGCGAAAGCAUUUGCCAAGGAUGUUUUCAUUAAUCAAGAACGAAAGUUAGGGGAUCGAAGACGAUCAGAUACCGUCGUAGUCUUAACCAUAAACUAUGCCGACUAGGGAUCGGAUGAUGUUAAUUUUUUUAAUGACUCAUUCGGCGCCUU